GGCUCUGUGGCGCAAUGGAUAGCGCAUUGGACUUCUAGGUGAAAGAAGAAAUUCAAAGGUUGUGGGUUCGAAUCCCAUCAGGGUCG
rnacentral:tRNA from 1 species